CGAUUUGUAGGCGAAUACUUUUCAAAUCUUAUUUAUUCUUUUCAAAUGUUGUUUAUUUUCUCUCUCUUCUCCCUCUCUCACAAUCUACAAUUCACAAAGACACAAACCCUAAUCUCUCAAUCUCAAUAGGGAAUUGCGUAUUUCCAGCUCGGAAUUAGCGAUCAGUCUUUCCAGAUCUUACAUCCCGUGGUGCCUAUCAGGAAUUAUGUCUUUUGUGCGGCCUCAGCAGCCACGAGGUGGCAAAUUUCACAGAGAUAAUAGAUCGUCUUGUGCUAGAAAUAGCAAUAUGGCUGUGAGGGCCACUGGUGCAGCUCCUCCUAAUUACCACGGGAACUUUGGCACACAUGACUACAACAACUACCAUGACUUUACUCAAACGUAUAGGUUGGAUGGACUCAUGUAUGACCGCCGUGGGCCUGAUUUUGCACCAUCUCCCAAAAGGAGAAAGACUUCAGCUUUCUCUGCUGAAAACACUGGGUUCAUUUAUCAGCAGCAGCAGACAUACCAAUAUGAUCUUGCAAAUCGUGCUGACUCAUUCAAACCUUCCAGAUACUAUAAUGCUUGUGCAGAUGCCCAAUUAGUCUGCAAAAGUUCUUCUGCUGUUGCUGAAACCAGGUCUGGUGGUGCCAAUCCGAAUGCUUCUUCUGCAUCAAAGUGUGACCCGUUAAAGUUUGAGGAUGAGGAAGUGGUUUUCAUGUCUAGGGAUGAUAUAGAGAAAUCAUCUCCUUCAAGAAAAGAUGGCAUUGAUCAGCUGCAUGAAACAUAUCUGCGAUACUCAUAUUGUUCCUUCCUUCAAGAUAUUGGGGUUAGGCUUCAUUUACCUCAAACAACCAUUGGGACUGCCAUGGUGCUCUGCCAUCGUUUCUUUGUACGCCGAUCUCAUGCCUCUCACGACAGAUUUCUGAUAGCUACUGCAGUUCUUUUCCUGGCUUCCAAGUCCGAGGAGACACCAUGUGCUCUGAAUGAUGUCCUAAAAGCAUCUUGUGAAGUUCUCCACAAACAGGAUUUCUCACUUCUUUCAUAUAUUUUACCCAUUGAUUGGUUUGAAAAAUAUCGUGAGCGGAUGACUGAUGCUGAGCAAUUGGUCUUAACAACUUUGAAUUUCGAGCUUAAUGUGCAGCAUCCAUUUGAAUCUCUGACUUCUACACUUCAAAAACUAGGCUUUGCACAGUCUGUCUUGGUGAAUAUGGCGCUGGACUUUGUCAGAGAAGGAGCCUUCUGAUAUCGAGACUGAAUAUAAAUGGAGUGAAAAAGUUACCAGUACCUGAACUGUAAUUGACACUCUGAUUGGUGGCUUCUCUAUUAUUUGGAUAACCAAUGAGGUCAAUAAUAUCAUUCGGGAGGAGGAUAUACACGAUUUAUUUACCUUUUGGUCCUCAGAUUGAAUCUUUCUUUUGGUUUAUAGAAGAUUAGCAUGCACCCAUUAUGAUAUUAAUAGCCGGAGGUUGAUCUGCUGAUCAUCAAAUGUGUUUUUCAUCUGAAGUUGAACUUGCUAUAUCUUGUGGAUUCCUUUCAAAUUCCAACAUCUUAUUAGCAUGGGCAUUUGCUCUAGAAGAUAGUUCGUGGGUUAAUUAUUUUAUACUCCAUUUAGACAUUACUAUGUCUUAGACUCUUACUCAGUUUCAACAUAGGUUGCUUAUAAUAAAUCUGAAGAAUACCUCAGAUUUUUGUUUGGGCAUGAUGGAACUAGUAGCUCAUCUUCCAUAUGUGGUGACCAAUUCCUUUUAAACACUUUGAUUCCCGAAACCAUUUGCGAUCAGGUGACUGAAUCCUUUACAUUUCAGAUUCACCCAUCCAUAUAUUACCCACCAAAAUACUCCGUGUUUUUUUGACCUCUCAUCUGUUUUCUUUUGCUUCCCAUUUCCUUUUUCUUCUAUUCUUUGCUCAUCUUCCAGCUUCAAUAAAUUUUGAAGGUCUUCAUAUGCUACUGAGCUUUGAUGGGUAAGAGUUUUGUAUGUCAUGUUCUGAGAAACUUCUAUUCAAGGGCUCAAACCUUAGUCCUUUGUCCAGUCAAAUAAGAACAGAAAAGGUAGGAAUACUUGCCAGUUACCACAAUAGUGGAAGCAUGCCCAGGAGAGAUGGGGAAGUCCCUACUUUAAUUUUAAUUAUUAUUGACCUGUUUGAGUAUCCAUUCACAAUGAUCAUCACUGUUCAACUUCUACAUUUUCUGCUCAAAUUUGGGCUGGGAUGUUGGUGGGGUGUAACAGUUGUCAUGUGUUCUAUAGAGUUCGAAAAAGAGUUGCCUAGGUGAUUCUGUUUUUUUUUCCUUGCUGUAUUGGGGCUUCAUCUAGUGGGCGUCAUGUCACCAUACACCAUACGUGGUGCAUGCUAAGUGUUGUCGCAGAAAGAAGUAGUAAUAUAGUCUUUUGCACUUGGUUUUUUAAAAUAUUAGGAAGACCAUCUUUUCUUAACAUCCAUGGAGGGAACAUCACUUUGAUGUUCUACAUUUACUUAUCAUAGGUUUACAUACCUAUCCAUACAUAUAUGUAUAUUUACUACUAGUUGUUGUUCCAUUUACUUAUCCGUAGGGAAUUAUCAGACCAUAUUUACAUAUACCACUGUAGCUCUAGUGAUACUUUUCUUUUAAACUUUGUAAAGAGUGUAAUUAAUAAAGUUAUGUGGAUAUUAUGUCUGAAUUUGUAACUUAGUCAAGAAUAUAAUGUCUGAUCCAGCAACCCUAAUGCUUGAAGAUAGUCUAAAUUUUCUGAGGACUCGACAAAAGCAAAGUAUAAUCUAAUUGGUCGUGGAGUGAUAAUCUGCUAAAACUAAUUUAUGAAGUCACAGUGAGUCUACGAACAUCGUAGCAUUCAUGCUGCUAGCCUUAUGUCUUACAAGGUGACCCGAGCCUGUUCCUCUCUUUUAUGUGCAUCCACAUCAGCAUUCUUGUUGGUAGACUGGCAGCAGAGACUGGAGUUGGAGUUAAUUGUUCUAUAGAUUGUUUGACAUGUUUUAUACUGGGAUAUCAAUCAGCAUUUCCCAGAGGAAUCUGGGUAUAUCCGACUUGGAUGCUGCCUUAUUAGUUGAUUUUUUAAUUGUGGCGAAUACAUCAAUGAGAAUAAGAUCAUGCAAGUUGAAUUGUUGGUGUUGCUUCUGCUUCAAAUGACUCAGAAGUUCGCUAUGGCUUCAGUUUAAACCUCACCAGAUAGCUGCUGGUGCUGCCUACCUUGCUGCCAAAUUCCUAAAUAUGAAUCUUGCUUCAUGUGAUAGCAUCUGGAAUGAGUUCCAC